GCCUGGAGGCUUCUACUACAAACCAGACACCGGCGCCGAACUGACCAUAUAUCGACACAGUGACCGUUAAGCUCAGGGUCAACAGAGACUUUCCUCUGUUCCAAGGUUCCAUAUAUUUAUACAUGUAUAUGAACAUGUACGAGAUGCGCUGCCAUUUCCUCCAAUGUGUUCCCAUAUAUAUUUCUACAAUAUAUAUGUCCCACCCCUUUCUGUUUCGCACUAGAUUUGAGGACCUUCGCUCUUUCACAUAAAUGUAGUAAUGAGACUGCCUGCAUGAAGAUUCGCACAAACUCGCUCGCUUUUCUGAAAGAAGAGAAUAUUGGCCAGCUGAACAAGACAUUACAGAUUUAAAAACAAUGUACGUCCACUUUGUCUGAGUACUAGUAUGAGCGGGGGAUAAGUUACUGGAAUCGUCAGGCCAGAUAACUAGUCUCGUGCCACCACCGAUUUAGGUGAUGAAAAAAUGAUUGGAAGCUAGGAGGGGGUCGGGGAGCUCGAGGACGAAGGGUAGGAUAUUAUGGAACCUUGGAACAGAGGUGAGAUGUGCAUAUCAAAGUUGAGAAGACCACGGGGAGAAAAAAAAGCCGAUGAAACAGGACUGGAAUUGAUUGUUGUUAAGGAACUUCUUGAAGCAAUAGCUCUCGCCCAUAUAGUGGCGUUGUUCUGACUCUGAAUAAUGUACAUGCAGCUCUUCCCUUUUUUACCAUAUCUUGUUUCUAGUCAUUCCUUAAAAUUUUCAAUGAUUAUAUUUUAUUUUGCAUAGUAAAAAGGUCCAAUAGGGGCGCAAGUAUAUAAAGAUUUUGUUUACUAUCGGAGUUUAUCACUUUCUUAAUAUUUGUCAUUAAUUAACACCAUUCUUAUUUUUAGCCGAAUCUUUAUUCAACUUGUUAAAUAAACUUUUGUAUUAACAUUAAUUA